AGAGUUUGAUCAUGGCUCAGAACGAACGCUGGCGGCGUGCUUAACACAUGCAAGUCGAGCGAGAAAGGGGGGGCAACCCCCUGAGUAGAGCGGCGCACGGGUGAGUAACGCGUGGGUAACCUACCCCCAGGCGGGGGAUAACUACUCGAAAGGGUGGCUAAUACCGCAUGAGACCACGGGAUCUUCGGAUCUUGAGGCUAAAGAUCGCACCGGCUUGCCGGUGCUGUCACCAGGGGAUGGGCCCGCGUCCGAUUAGCUAGUUGGCGAGGUAAUGGCUCACCAAGGCUACGAUCGGUAGCUGGUCUGAGAGGAUGAUCAGCCACACUGGAACUGAAACACGGUCCAGACUCCUACGGGAGGCAGCAGUGAGGAAUAUUGCGCAAUGGGGGAAACCCUGACGCAGCAACGCCGCGUGGGUGAAGAAGGCCUUCGGGUCGUAAAGCCCUUUCGGACGGGACGAACGCUCCGCGGUGACAAGCCGCGGAGUCUGACGGUACCGUAGGAAGAAGCACCGGCUAACUCCGUGCCAGCAGCCGCGGUAAUACGGAGGGUGCGAGCGUUGUUCGGAAUUACUGGGCGUAAAGCGCGUGUAGGCGGCCUUGCAAGUCAGGCGUGAAAGCCCUCGGCUUAACCGGGGAAGUGCGUCUGAAACUGCUUGGCUUGAGUACGGGAGAGGGAGGCGGAAUUCCCAGUGUAGAGGUGAAAUUCGUAGAUAUUGGGAGGAACACCGGUGGCGAAAGC
rnacentral:rRNA from 1 species